AAGGAUCAUUAAUGAAAAGUUCUUUUAGAACCAAUCAAUACCCCAUUGUUUACUUACCACUGUUGCUUCCACUGGACAGGUCAACCCGUCAAAAAGGUAGACCCUUUGGCAUCGGCUUCAAAAACCCGAUUGCUGGGGAGUGCCGGUGGAUAACCCAUACAAAAAACUUUAAAAAAAACUUAAAAUAUGAUAAAUCGUCUGAACAAUUUUUUAUAAAUCAUUAUAAAACUUUCAACAACGGAUCUCUAGGCUCUU
rnacentral:misc_RNA from 1 species